rnacentral:rRNA from 1 species
GACGAACGCUGGCGGCGUGCUUAACACAUGCAAGUCGAGCGGUAAGGCCCUUCGGGUACACGAGCGGCGAACGGGUGAGUAACACGUGGGUGACCUGCCUUUAGCUCUGGGAUAAGCCUGGGAAACUGGGUCUAAUACCGGAUAUGACCUCAUGACGCAUGUUGUGGGGUGGAAAGCCUUGUGCGGCUAGAGAUGGGCCCGCGGCCUAUCAGCUUGUUGGUGGGGUGAGGCCUACCAAGGCGACGACGGGUAGCCGGCCUGAGAGGGCGACCGGCCACACUGGGACUGAGACACGGCCCAGACUCCUACGGGAGGCAGCAGUGGGGAAUCUUGCGCAAUGGGCGAAAGCCUGACGCAGCGACGCCGCGUG